AACGAACGCUGGCGGCAUGCCUAACAUAUGCAAGUCGAACGAGACCUUCGGGUCUAGUGGCGCACGGGUGCGUAACGCGUGGGAACCUGCCCUUAGGUUCGGAAUAACUCCCCGAAAGGGGUGCUAAUACCGGAUAAUGUCUUCGGACCAAAGAUUUAUCGCCUUUGGAUGGGCCCGCGUUGGAUUAGCUAGUUGGUAGGGUAAAAGCCUACCAAGGCGACGAUCCAUAGCUGGUCCGAGAGGAUGAUCAGCCACACUGGGACUGAGACACGGCCCAGACUCCUACGGGAGGCAGCAGUGGGGAAUAUUGGACAAUGGGCGAAAGCCUGAUCCAGCAAUGCCGCGUGAGUGAUGAAGGCCUUAGGGUUGUAAAGCUCUUUUACCCGGGAUGAUAAUGACAGUACCGGGAGAAUAAGCUCCGGCUAACUCCGUG
rnacentral:rRNA from 1 species